UCCGGUUUGUCACCGGCAGUCAUCCUAGAGUGCCCACCCGAAGUGCUGGCAACUAAGAUCAAGGGUUGCGCUCGUUGCGGGACUUAACCCAACAUCUCACGACACGAGCUGACGACAACCAUGCACCACCUGUCUCCGAUGCUCCGAAGAGGGGCAACAUCUCUGCUGCUUACAUCGGGAUGUCAAGACCUGGUAAGGUUCUUCGCGUUGCUUCGAAUUAAACCACAUACUCCACUGCUUGUGCGGGUCCCCGUCAAUUCCUUUGAGUUUCAGCCUUGCGGCCGUACUCCCCAGGCGGAGUGCUUACUGUGUUAACUUCGGCACCAAGGGCAUGGAAGCCCCUAACACCUAGCACUCAUCGUUUACGGCGUGGACUAC
rnacentral:misc_RNA from 1 species